AUGAAUCGCAUGAUUCAAGUUUGAAAGGCGGCGCAAGCUGUCACUUUAGGAUGAGCCCGCGGCGCAUUAGCUAGUUGGUGGGGUAAAGGCCUACCAAGGCAAUGAUGCGUAGCCGAGUUGAGAGACUGAUCGGCCACAUUGGGACUGAGACACGGCCCAAACUCCUACGGGAGGCAGCAGUAGGGAAUCUUCCACAAUGGACGCAAGUCUGAUGGAGCAACGCCGCGUGAGUGAUGAAGGGUUUCGGCUCGUAAAACUCUGUUGUUAAGGAAGAAUACUUGAGGUAGUAACUGGCCUU
rnacentral:rRNA from 1 species